GAUGAACGCUGGCGGCGUGCCUAAUACAUGCAAGUCGAGCGAACAGAUGAGGAGCUUGCUCCUCUGAUGUUAGCGGCGGACGGGUGAGUAACACGUGGAUAACCUACCUAUAAGACUGGGAUAACUUCGGGAAACCGGAGCUAAUACCGGAUAAUAUAUUGAACCGCAUGGUUCAAUAGUGAAAGACGGUUUUGCUGUCACUUAUAGAUGGAUCCGCGCCGCAUUAGCUAGUUGGUAAGGUAACGGCUUACCAAGGCAACGAUGCAUAGCCGACCUGAGAGGGUGAUCGGCCACACUGGAACUGAGACACGGUCCAGACUCCUACGGGAGGCAGCAGUAGGGAAUCUUCCGCAAUGGGCGAAAGCCUGACGGAGCAACGCCGCGUGAGUGAUGAAGGUCUUCGGAUCGUAAAACUCUGUUAUUAGGGAAGAACAAAUGUGUAAGUAACUAUGCACGUCUUGACGGUACCUAAUCAGAAAGCCACGGCUAACUACGUG
rnacentral:rRNA from 1 species